GAAAUGCGAUACGUAAUGUGAAUUGCAGAAUUCAGUGAAUCAUCGAAUCUUUGAACGCACCUUGCGCCCCUUGGUAUUCCGAGGGGCACACCCGUUUGAGUGUCGUGAAAUUCUCAACCUCCUCGGUUUCUUUUGGACGCCGAAGGAGGCUUGGACUUUGGAGGGCUUUGCUGGACUUGAAAGGCCAGCUCCUCUCAAAUGAAUUAGCGAGGUUCCCUUUGCCGAUCCUCGACGUGUGAUAAGAUGCUUCCACGUCUCGGUCUUUGGCUCUGUCACCUUUCGGGACCUGCUUCCAAUCGUCUCUUGACUGAGACAACGUUCGAGCUCGUCUCGACCACGUACCCUUGACCUCAAAUCGGGUGAGACUACCCGCUGAACUUAA
rnacentral:rRNA from 1 species